GUGACCUCAAAUCAGGUAGGACUACCCGCUGAACUUAAGCAUAUCAAUAAGCGGAGGAAAAGAAACUAACAAGGAUUCCCCUAGUAACUGCGAGUGAAGCGGGAAAAGCUCAAAUUUAAAAUCUGGCAGUCUUUGGCUGUCCGAGUUGUAAUCUAGAGAAGUAUUAUCCGCGCUGGACCGUGUACAAGUCUCCUGGAAUGGAGCGUCAUAGAGGGUGAGAAUCCCGUCUUUGACACGGAUUGCCAGGGCUUUGUGAUGUGCUCUCAAAGAGUCGAGUUGUUUGGGAAUGCAGCUCAAAAUGGGUGGUAAAUUCCAUCUAAAGCUAAAUAUUGGCGAGAGACCGAUAGCGAACAAGUACCGUGAGGGAAAGAUGAAAAGAACUUUGGAAAGAGAGUUAAACAGUACGUGAAAUUGCUGAAAGGGAAACGCUUGAAGUCAGUCGCGUUGGUCAGGGAUCAACCUUGCUUUUGCUUGGUGUACUUUCUGGUUGACGGGUCAGCAUCAAUUUUGACCAUUGGAAAAAGGUCAGGGGAAUGUAGCAUCUUUGGAUGUGUUAUAGCCCUUGGUUGCAUACAAUGAUUGGGAUUGAGGAACUCAGCACGCCGCAAGGCCGGGUUU
rnacentral:rRNA from 1 species